rnacentral:antisense_RNA from 1 species
CAAAUUGAUAGCAUUUCUAAUCCAAAGGUUAUCUUUGUCAGUUAAAUUAUUUCCAUUGAAAAAAAUAACUUGAAAACACAUUUCAAAAAUUCCAACUAAUCUAUUAAAAACAAAUAUUGCUUUGUUAAGAGACUCAAGUUCAGCAAUUGCAUUUAUUGAAGGUAAAUCGCUUAAAGUAUUAUUGAUUAGGAGUGAAUUUUGAUCAAGAAUUGCAACAAAAACAAAUUUAAUGGAUUGUAAUAAUUGAAAACCAGAAUUCCUGAGGAUACAAAGAGAAAUUUCUGGAAUUUCGUCAUAAAAAUAAUCAUGGGAAAAUUUUAAAACUUCAACACAGACAUUAAAAAUAAGCACCUUGUUUUCUUUACGAUUCCAAAGUGCUAUUCUUGAAGCGAUAUCAGUAAUAACACUUGAAAUGUCUUUAACCGACUGAGUAUUGUUGGCAAUAAACUUAAUUAAGUAAAUUAUUAUUUCCAUGUACCAAUCUUUUGAGAAAUCGUCAUCAUUUAGUAAAUACGGAAUAUUU